UUAAAAAAAUCAAAGAAGAAGUCACACUGCAACUUCACCUGGAAAAGUAUCCUGCCGAUGAAAGGGCCUGCUGACACGGGGAGAGAGAUAGACUCCCAACCAAACCCGAAAACAGACUCUGGACAUUCAAAUGUAAACCAAGCCAGCCAGUCGAGGGGUGCUGGGCCCAGUCACCAGUCCGGCCACAGUGAUGGAUCCCAGCACAGCAACCAGUACCGACACAGAAAGCGGUCCAGGCACAGUGACAGGUCCCAGCAAAGCAAACUGUACCGACACAAGAAGCAGUCCAGGCACAGCGACCAGAUGGGACACGACAAGCAGUCCAGGCACAGCGAUUUGUCUAAAGACGAGUUUCAGAAAAAAGUUUUAACUAAAUUGGUGGAUAUCCACAUGGAGGUCAGAAGGCUGGGGAAAAAGCGAGCCUCCCCUGUCAUCCGCCCAUAUAGAGCUACUGGAGACGAUGGAGUUUGAGAGAGAGGAGGAACGCCUCAAGGACAAGCAAGCCUUUGAGUCCUUGGCUCUUUACCAACCGGCUAAUGGCAAAAUUCAAUAUGAAGGGAAAGAAGCAGAAACUGCCUCCUGGAGAAGACUACGACUUUUGAAGCAAUUCAAGCUGCAGUCAUGAAAUGGGAUAAAUAAGCUACAGAGGCUACGGUCAAGCAUCAUGCAGCAGGACAUCUCAAACAUGCACCAAGGAAGAAGGGAGGUGGAGGGUAUACAGGGGUGGAAAGUAACUAGGAAUUUUGCACGAGUACUAUAAAGGCUAUUUUAUGGUUCUGUGGAGGCUCCAUGCAGAACUUUCUCCGUAGCCUACGUAAGUGGCCUGAUAUUUAUACUUGUGCGCUGGUGUGUGCGUUGAGCCGGCGUGU